rnacentral:lncRNA from 1 species
GUGCACAAGGUGAUGCUGGCUGCCGCACGGCGACACGCACCGCUCGUCUCCUUGAGAAGUCACUCCCAGCCUGAUCCCAAAAGAUUCCUCAGAACGCAAGCUGGGAGCCAGCAAGAAAAGAAGGCUCCCCACUUUCCUUCACAGCAACUUCAUGGGCACCCCAUGGGCUCCCUGCUCUCACUCUGCUUACCCCAUCGUGCCCCCGUGCUCACACCUUUGUCAUCCCGUUCGCACCCCAUGUUCCCCCAUAUUGCCCCUCCUCAGGUCCCAUAUUGCCCCUCCGGCCCCAUGUUACCCCUCAGAUCCCAUAUUGCCCCUCCUCAGGUCUCAUAUUACUGCUCAGAUCCCAGAUUACUCAUCGGGUCAUAUAUUGCCCCUCCUCAGGUCCCAUAUUGCCCUUGAGGUCCCAUAUUGCCCCUACUCAGGUCCCAUAUUACCCCUCAGAUCCCAUAUGGCACUCAGGUCCCAUAUUACCCCUGCUCAGGUCCCAUAUUGCCCCUCAGAUCCCAUAUGGCACUCAGUUCCCAUAUUACCCAUGCUCAGAUCCCAUAUUGCCCCUCAGAUCCCAUAUUACCCUCAGGUCCCAUAUUACCCCUCAGAUCCCAUAUGGCACUCAGGUCCCAUAUUACCCCUGCUCAGGUCCCAUAUUGCCCCUCAGGUCCCAUAUUGCCCCUCAGGUCCCAUAUUGCCCCUCAAGUCCUAUAUUUCCUCUUGGGUCCCAUGUUGCCACUGAGGUCCCCUAUUACCUCUCAGUUCCCAUAUUGCCCCUCGGGUCUCAUAUUCCACCUUGGGUCUCAUAUUGCCCCUCAGAUCCCAUAUUACCCCUCAGGUCCCAUAUUGCCCCUCAGGUCCCAUAUUGCCCCUCCUCAGGUCCCAUAUUGCCCCUCAGAUCCCAUAUUGCCCCUCAGAUCCCAUAUUACCCCUCCUCAGGUCCCAUAUUACCCCUCCUCAGGU